GCUUCUAGAGCAGUCUUUGAUACUGUAAGACAUAUUCUUUUGGUGCUUUGCCACUAAUUAGACUUGAAUCUUCAAGGAAAACGUUUUGUUGACAACGUUAUUUGACAAUGUUUUUUACAAUGUCAGGUGGCGUUGUCUCAUUCGUUGUCUGAAUUAAAUUUUUAAAACAUGUUUAAUUGAUUUACUGAGGUCAUUAUUGGAAGAAUGAAUUGGGGGUAAAGUGUUGGCGCCUUCCAUUCUGAACGCUGAAGCAAGUCAUCUGAAAAACGCUCUGCACAGAAAAAAGCUCUCUCUCAUUCACGAAGUCUCUCAAAAAAGCUCUCCACAGAAAAAAGCUCUUUCUCAUUCACAAAGUCUCUCAAAAACGAUCUCUCUCAAAAACGCAACGAUCCCUCUCAAAAACGAUGUGUCUCAAAAAGGUAUCCCUCUUUCCGCCAUUUGAAGUCGUUGGUGGAAGUCUGGCUUUUUAGGCGAAGUCUGGCUUAUUGGGCAACCGUCGAACAGAGAGGUUUCGAACGGAGAGGUUUCAAACGGAGAGGUGUUUUUUAUGUCUUCAUUGUUCCUUUAGGUGUUUUGUACAUUGCCUUUAUUGUGCGUUUGUUUUGCGUUUAUGUGUUGGUUGCGGUGGUUCAGAGGUGUGAAAGGUUAGGUUUUUUUCGCUGUUGCCGUUGCGGAUUUGGUUAUUGGGUGCGCUGGUGAGUAUCGUUGCAUCGUGUUUUCAUUUUUUAUCGAAAGGUAAAACGUAUUUUCACACUUUUUAGGUAGUUAGGUUAUUUGACAUUUGAUAUUUGCUAUAACCCAGUUUCACAUUUUGUCUUCCUCUAUAUCAUAUAAUGUAUUUGGAAUCCUAUGUGCGCUCUUUACAUUUGAUAUAUGCUAUAACCCAAUUUCACUUUUGACGUCUGUUAUAGCC
rnacentral:lncRNA from 1 species